UUGGGAUACGAAUAUUUGGAGGACACUAUUCAACCCAGUAUAGAGCCCGAGAAGCUAAAAGGGAAUUCCACCAAUUCCCCAUUCUAACAAUGGGGUCCAGGGUCAGGGCACUGGCACUGUGAUAAAGGAGCAGGAAGUCAAAGCCAAGGAGAAGAGAGCUCUUGUCCCAGAGGCUGAUUUUGUUGUUCAAGAAGCAGACACACCUACAGUGGAUAACUCAGCCAGCAAAAAAUACUCUCAGAUUAGUAACGGACCAAUAAACAACACACUGAAUAAUUAUGGUCCCUACCUCAUAGGAGUGUCAAAGGAUUAAUAAGGUCAGGAGUUCCAUGGACCCUGAACACUGUGGUUGGAAACCAAUGUGAUCUGUGAACUUGGUAAAUAAUGACUUCAUUGAACCUUCCCCAAUUAACCCUUUGAAAGGACCAUCUGAUUUUUACCAGCACCACCAUUGAUACAGUUUCCUGUUGUAGAUGGAAUGACCAACUUGUCCAUAGUUCAAGAAAGUACACGUGCAUUCUCACUCUGCUCUCUGUGAACAUGUUCAAGUUUGUCGUCAGCCUUUGUCCGAGAAUGUCUAUGAAGCCAAGAGAAGAAUAAUUCUACUUGCUAGCCUACAGAGGACACACAAGCCUUCUUCUGUAGCAGUCUCCAGAUAAACACUGAUGGAUCCUUCAGGCAGAUUUUUUUUCUUCUGGUCCAUACUUUCACAUGGCCCCUUAAGGACUCUGGCUUCUAAUUCUAAAUCCUUAGCUUGAGUGAGCCCAACAUCACUGAAACACAAGUCUCUGGGUGACAGAAGAUAUAUACAUGCAGUCAGGAAAUCUGGAAGACCUGAGAUCGAUUAACCACUGCUAUCCUGCUGGAUGGACCAAAGCAGAGAUGUUCAAGAUGAAGAUAAACCUUCACACCUUGGGGGAAGUUUGUGUUGCUUGUUUUUACAUGAACCGCGCUGAAGUUUGAAUUCCACUCAAAGCUGUAGAGAGACUGUUCUGAGGACCGGGAUAAGUUUUGCAGUAACACACAGAGUGUGAUAAUAAGGUUUAUGCACGAUUGUAAAGAACGUGCUGACAGAUGGAAAAGGAGCCACCUUGGUCUGCCCAGCAUUCACUUUUAUAUAUAUUUAAAAAAUCAUACUUCACCUGACUCUGGUUCAAACAGCAGUUCUUCCUCCUGCUGUCUUCCAGGAACAGAAAUAUUUUAGAGUAUAUAGAAAAAUUCCAACCCCCAGUGGACUGAUUCGCUAAAAUUUCAAGUUCUAUGCACAUCAGAGUAUCAUAGGUCCUGUAUUACCAUUCAAGAUGUCAUGUGCAAUGAAAAACUUAUUCCCUCCAACAUGAAUCUCUGUGUAGUAAGUGCCUUAGAUAGCGAGCAAAUAAAUGCAGCAAGGAAAAAAGAUGUGAACAGAAUGAUUCCCACAAUGGAGAGGCACCUCCCCUCUGAAAAGCAAAAUGCCAGCUUAUUUGCCAAGGAUUAGUUUGCACCAAAGGAAAUUAAAAUAUGAAUGCAGAUUGUAUUAGAGAAUUCAGGUCAUCUCUAACCCUCCAUGAUGUUGUGACAUCUCACAGCAUAUUGAUUAAAGGAAAAGAGCAUCGUGAGGUAAAUUCCUUACUCUUUUUUUGUUUGUUUGUUUGUUAUUUUUGUUUUUUUUUUUGUUUUUUUUUUCCACACACACACACUGUAUUUUAUUUUUACAAGAGAUAAAUAGACUGACACCAAGCAUUGUACAUGGAUGACCACAACAAAAGCAACAAUGAUUGCAAUUACCAAACAUGAAACACACUUAUACUAUGUCAUAAUAUUGACAUUCAGUCCAGUAAUCCUCCACUGUAACAGCUCCUUUACUUUGCAGUGAAAUAAAUUCCUUACUCUUAAGAAUAAGGAAGCAAAAUGACCACCCCAUCCAAUCCCACCUCCUUGCUUCUCUAAGGUGUGGUGUCAGCUUUCUAAGGGAGAGAGAACCAGCUCCUGUUGGCUAUCUUCUCUCUCUUAGACCUUAUAACUAUGUUCUUGGAAAAACCAAUUCCAUGCUUAAAAAAAAAAAAAUAGGAAAAACAAGAAAAUUCAACCACUUUCCAUUCAUCCUUUUGACCAAAUAUACCUAUAUUUUCUAGGGCUGCCAUUACAAAAUGCCACAAACUGAGUAGCUUAAACAACAGAAAUUUCUUGUCUCAUAGCUCAGAAGGUCAGAAGUCUAAAAGCAGGAUAUUGCCAGAGUUGGUUCCUUCUGAGGGCCAUGAAAAAAGAUCUUUUCCAGGCCACUCUCCUUAGCUUGUAGAUGGCUGGCAUUUCCCUAUCUGUCUUUUCACAUCACCUUUCCUCUGUGUCCAAAUUUCCCUUUUUCAUAAGGACGUCAGUCUCAGUAGUAUUGGUUGAAGGCCCAUCCUAAUAGCUCCAUUUUCACCUCUGUAAAGACCCGAUUUCCAAAUAAGUUCACAUUCUGAGGUACUGGGGGAUUAGAACUGCAAUAUGAAUUUUGAGGACACACAGUUCAACACGUGAUGACUACUGGAUGCCAGAUUACUUCUGUAUGUGUGUGGCAGGGAGGAACCAUCCAACGACUAUUAGCUCCUGAUCUCUUUAACUCAAGUGACCUUCAGCUGUAAUCCACUUACACUGCCUAAUCAUUUGCAUGCUUUAUCUAGCCUGUACACUGUAUACACCCAUCAGGUCUAAAAAUUUAAAUUUAAAUACUCGAUCCUUUGACCACUAUCUGCUCAUACCAGUUUUCUCAUUUCUCUACUUCCUUUACGUCAUCAGUUACAACUUAUGUUAUUGUAUGGAACGUUAGUGUUUUAGUAUGGUUAAUGGUACACAGAGGAAGAUAAAUGGUGUGUGGUCAAAUACAUUUAGAAGCAUAGGGUUAAUAAAAGUAGAAAUACUUCUUUACUGAAGAAAUUUAGUACACUAACAUUUAUUCUGAAUAACCAAGAUUUGUGACAGCUUUAAACUAAUUUAUAUGAGCAAUUAAAAAAAUAGCAAUGAGGUCUAGUGAUCCACAGAACAUCAGUUUGCAAACUAGUGUAUUACAACUGUUCUUUAAUCCAGAACCCCUAUUUCACUCUUUCCCUUCAUUCUAGUUAUGUUUCUAGUUAUGUUUCUCCUCCUUAGGAUUCUUGGAUAUAUCGCUUACGCAUUUGUUUGCUAAAUAGUCUUUCCAUUUUUUAGUCUUAUUUUCAAAGCCACCAAGCAAUUCUGUGCCGUGUCUAUUACCACAUGCACACUCAUGUUCUCCAAACUUCAAUGGGCCUCCAGAACUGCAAGCAAGAAUAUCCAUGCUACAUCCUUUUCCCCCCAGAUAGAAUAUAUUUAUCACUAUUUACUGGGCCACCUGCUCACCUACCUCACUCUCAUCUCCUACAUCACAGGGAAAAAUGAUAGCACUCGUUGCCACUAGGUUGGGAUUUGCUCAGCUCACAGACUUCUCACUUUCUAUCUAUAAACAGUAAAAACAACAUGCAUGGACACAGAGCUUCUGCCACUGCCCCCCCCCAUUAUCAGUGAAAAGCCAUUCCUCCCUGAAGGCAAAUCAGUCCUCCCUGUCUUUAUCCCUACUACUCCUGACGUCUCAGGGAUCACCUCCAUCUCUUUCCCAUCUUUAUCUCCUGUAUCUUCAGUUCUACUAGUUCUUUCCCCUAGUGUACUAAACCAGAUCAAAGGGUCUUGUUUUAAUUUUGUUUUCCUUUUUUCACAACUCCCUUCUUGAGUUCUGAUUUUAUCUUCCUUUUUUUUAUUGUUGUUUUAAAUUUUUUUUGUUGUUUUUUUAAAAAAAUUUCUUGUCUUUUUAAAAAUUUUCUAUUUUUUAAUUUUUUUAUUUUUUGGUCUUUUUAUCUACCUUUUUUUUUUUUUCAGUUUAAAAAGCCAGUCUUUUUUUUUGAAUCAGCUAUACAUAUACAUAUAUCCCCAUAUCUCUUCCCUCUUGUGUCUCCCUCCCUCCCACCCUGCCUAUCCCACCCCUCUAGGUGGUCACAAAGCACCGAGCUGAUCUCCCUGUGCUAUGCAGCUGCUUCCCACUAGCUAUCGGUUUUACAUUUGUCUACCUUCUUUUUUUUUUUUAAAGAUCUACCUUCAUAAUUUCCAUGUUCUUACCGGCAAUAACUUUUCCAUCAACAUUAGAACUGUUUUCUAAAGAUGUCUCUUAUUUGCCAUAUUCACUGGGCACAGAGAAGAAAGUGUGGAUCUUGGGUUUACAGUCUAGGAUUUCAGUUCUAUUUUUAGCUUCUUAGCGUUGUGAUCACUGAUGGUUUUUUUAGACUUCUUCAGCUUCGGUUUUUCCUUCUUUUAAGGGGCAAUGUUAAUUUCAUCUGAGCAGGAUCUCUGGAAUAAUAAAUUAGAUAUUAUAUGAAAGGCUUCCAAAAAAGAAUGAAAUAAUGUCAUUUGCAGCAACAUGGAUGCAACUAGAGAUUAUCAUACUAAGUGAAGUAAGUCAGAAAGAGAAAGACAAAUACCAUAUGAUAUCACUUAUAUGUGGAGUCUAAAAUAUGGCACAAAGGAACAUAUCUACAAAACAGAAACAGACUCACAGACAUAGAGAACAGACUUGUGUUUGCCAAGGGAGAGGGGGGUGGGAGAGGGACAGAGUGGGAGUUUGGGGUUAGUAGAUGCAAACUAUUACAUUUAGAAUGGAUAAACAACAAGGUCCUACUGUAUAGCACAGGGAACUAUAUUCAAUCUCCUGGGAUAAACCAUAAUGGAAAGGAAUAUUAAAAAGGAAUGUAUAUAUGUGUAUAACUGAGUCACAUUGUUGCACAGCAGAAAUUAGCACAACAUUGUAAAUCAAUUAUAAUUCAAUAAAAAAAGAAAUUAAAAAAACCCACCACAACUACAACGACCACCAACACAAAGGCUUCCAGGAGGCAGGCAGUAAUGGUUAACUCCUUCCAGGCGACCCCCUCUCCCUAAUCCCAUGACACUGUUCUUUAUUGUCUCAUUGAAAUUCUCUCUCCCUGUUCAUGGAGUAGCAUCACCUCUUGAGUCUCUUCUUAGUGCUUUGGUUUCUCUAACCUCUCUCCAUUCCUUCCCACGUAGUGUGGAUAUCUGUCAGAUUUUUUCUCCCUUGAGUUUUCUUUCCUUCUUAAUCUACAUUUUCACAGUUUCAACUACUAUUUUCUAAGGAUUCACUUAAAAAAAAAAAAAAGAGUUUGCAACCUGAGCAAUUUGUCUAACUCCAAACUAGUAUAUCUUAAGUAUUUACUGAGCAUCUCCCCUUAAAUGUCCCAUAGGAAAUUCAAAUAUAAAAUGUGCAACACCGAAUCCAUUGUCUGUGUGCACCAGAAAGCUGCCCCCUUCUUGUUUCUUUGUCUCAAUAAAUGACACCACUUUUGGUAUACAUAAGAUAAUUUUAGGUGCUAUACGACCAUAGCAAUAGGUACCAUUUAAUUAGUUAAUAAAAAUAGUAUUCACUUUUCAUUUUUUAAAUUCAAAUCCUUCAAGCUACAUCAAAGAUAAAGUUUCUGUUUGGGACUUAAUAUGUCUUUAGUGUUUCUAUAGUAUUUCAGAAACUCCCAUUUUAACAAAUAGAGAUGUUUCAGAAACUUUAACAAGUCGGACUUUGAGAGAGUUGACUUUGUCAAUUUUAUGUUUAAAUUCUAUCUAUGAUAAAUUAAUCUCAUUUUACACUUAUAGCUUGGAUAUGUUUUUAAUCAAAAUGUAUGUAAAUGACAGUCAAUUUAAAGGAAGAUAUUAAAUAGUAUUACAUUACUAUACUAAUAUAGGGUAAAGCACAAAGAGGAUAUGCAAACCAUGGUGUUUGGGAAACAUAGUAUAACUUACCUUUUUCUCUCAAGACCCCCUAAUAUUGUCUUAGCUUAAUUUUCCAUAAGUUUUUACGUGAGAUACUGCAAUGAUUUUCCACUUGGAAUCCUUUACUCUUGUCUCACUUUCCUCCUAUUUACCUUCUAAGUCACUGCCAGGGUAAGUAUUGAAAAGCCUGGAUUACAACACCGUGCUUUCUGUGAUUAAGAUCCUUCAUUGAGGACUUAUUGAUUUUUUUUUCUUCUCAGCAUCCUACAGCAUUUUGGUCAGACUGCUUCCUGCACUUUACAUGUCCUUAUGCCCCAAUGUGUCUGCCUGUCUCCCAUUGGUUCUUUAGUGCUUCAGUCAGAAUUCCUGAAUAAAGAUGAUGAGAUAAAUACAUCCAUAUCUUAUUUUAUCCCAUCCCAGAUUCUCACUAAAAUGAUAAAAGAAAAACCUAAGUAGAAAAGUUUUUUGUUGUUGUUGCUGCAGAAUAAAAAUAAUUGGAAAAUAUGUAAAGGACUCAGAAAAUGACACCACCCACAGAAGUACUCCUACUGACAUAUGAACCAACUUCCUCAAGACAUAGGAUUAGCUAAACAGCUGUGAGCAAUAAACCAGUAAAAGUUUCCCAAACAGCUACUUUAAUAUCGGUUUUAAAUUGCAGAUAUGAAAAUACAUUCUUGAAAGAGGCAAUUUUGAUACUGUAAAAUGUCAAAUAAUAAUCAUAAUCUAAAACACCAGAUUAUAAGAAAAAAAAGUAAUAAAAGAAAGUAAUUUUGUUUUAAUUAUCAAGGGAUAGUGAUUAGAAACAUGUCAUUUAAAAAAUAACCUUUUUAUUUUAGAACAGUUUAUACUUACAGAAAAAUUAUAAAGAUAGUACAGAGGGUUUCCAUAGAAUGUGCAUGGAGUCCUCUAUUAUUAGCAUCUUACAUUUAUUACGUUUAAUGGUGCAUUUGUUACAAUUCAUGAACCAAUAUUGUAUAUUAUCAUUUAAGUCCCACUCUUUAUUCAGAUUUCCUUGGGCAUUCCCUAAUGUCCUUUUUUUUGGUUCCAGGAUCCCAAUCUGGUACCAUAUUGCAUUUACUUACUGUGUCUCCUUAGAAUCCUUUUGACUGAGAUAGUUUCUAUGAUUUUCCUUGUUUUUGAAGACCUUGGCAGUUUUGAGCAGUGCUGGUCAGAUUUUUUUUUUUUUUUUUUGAUGUGGACCAUUUUUAAAGUCCUUUUUAAAAUUGAAUUUGUUACAAUAUUGCUUCUGUUUUACAUUUUGGUAUUUUGGCCGUGAGACAUGUGGGAUCCUAGCUCCUCGACAAGGAUUGAACCCGCACCCCCUGCAUUGGAAGGUGAAGUGUUAACCACUGGAUCACCAAGGAAGACUCCUGGUCAGAUAUUUUGUAGAAAGUCCUUCAAAGGGAUUUGUCUGAUGUUCCUUUCAUGACUAGAUUAGGGUUCCUUUCAUGACUAGCUGAGGGCAUCACUAUGUGGGUUUUGGGGAGGAAGACCACAGAGGUAGAGUACCAUUUUCAUCACAUCAUAUCAAAGAUACAUUCUAUCCACAGGACUUAUCAUUGUUGAUGUUAACUUUGGUCAUCCGGCUAAGAUAGUGUUUGUCAGGUUUCUCCACUGUAAAGACUGUUUUUCUACCCCUCAUUCAAUACUAUAUUCUUUGAAAGGAAGUUGGAAUAUACAACCCACAGUCAAGACGUGAGGAGUUAUGGUCCACUUACUUAAGGGUGGGUAAUCUACAUAAUGUAUGCAAAUAAAAAAGUCAUUUAGGUGGUUAGGAAAAUCCCAGGAUGGAAUGCAGAAUAUGACAAAACAAUCUGACUGUAUUAAAAAUUUAGGAAACAACCUCACUAAAGGAGAUGAGAGAAAAAUGUGCUGAUCUAAGUUAACUUUGGAAAUUAAUGGAAUCUGUAAAGCUAAAGUCAAAAACAGUACAUAAUUACUGUAAUUUAGUUGAUAAUGUUGCUUUCCUACAGGGUUAUUAGUUUAAAAUUAUCAUACUGCUAUACAUGUAUACAGGAAUUGAACAAUUAAGUAAAUGGAUGGUAAAUGGUGAGAGCCAGGUGGGAAGUGAGAAUUUACAGGUAAGAAUGUUUUAAUGGAUUAGAGUUGAGGGCAUCACUAUGUACUCACGUUUACCUUAAUAUACACAGAUAAUAGCAUAUAGAAAUAUUUACAGAGAGGUGCACAUACACUGUUUAGUAUACACAUAUAUAUUUCCUUGUUCUGUCAGCUGCGAUAGUCUGGAAGCAGCAAUGUCCCAGUAUCAACAAGUAUAUCUGGUACCCAGGUCUUAGUUCCUCAGUUUUAUUUUUCAAUAAAAGAAUGUAGAGUUCCUUGGAGAAAUGGCUGAUUCGUGGACUGGGGAAGGAAAUAUAAAAGAUGAGCCUGAAGUAUUUUGCAGUGCCAGAGGUAAGGAAAUGCUAAGAAAAAAAUAUUUUAAACCCUAUUAUGAUGGGACCAUGUCAAAGGACACAAGAGAUAUUAAAAGAACUCCCAGUGGCCAAAGUUGUAACAAUGUGAGCAAAGAAAAUAAUGUUGGACUAUAAAAUAAAUAUCUGUGAGUACACAUGGGUAUAAAUAAUUUUUUUAAUAAAUAAAUGGGGAGAAGAGACAAGUCUCCUAUACAGAAGAAUUCCAAAUAAGAUAUGUGUGAUUUUGGCAUUUGUAAUUUUGUGAAAGAAAAGUCCAAUGUUUUUUUCUCAAAUAUUUUAAAGUUAACCUGGGGGAAAAUAUAUGAUGAAAACAAGAUUUCCAAAUUCCAAAUCAGUAUUAAAAAAUAACAAAAAAGUAGAUCAUAGGCAGCAAAAAAGAAUACUCAUAAAAGAAAUUUAAAAUGAAGGACAAAAGAUCAAAUUCAAUAUUCAUUUUAUUUUCCCAUAUCAAAAAUAUUAAUUCACUAGUUCUUUGAUUGAGCUCAGAGAAGUUUAUAUUGAAAAAUUGUCCAGGCUAUUACAAAGUAUAUUGGACGUUGUGAGCUACUGACAUUGAGAAAAUUUUGACAAAGAUAAUGAAGACAAAGAGAUAAUGCACUUAUGUUGCAUUAGGAAAUAAAAGGAAUGCAGCCUCAAAUAUGGAGAACAUUAAAGAUAAUUUAAAAUUCUAUCUAUUUUUGAAAGUAUCAAUGAAAUAGAAAAUUUUCCAGAAAAGAAUUUAUUAUAAAAAUUGAUAUUUUAUGAAGAAGCUUAAAAAUAAUCUCAUAAACAUUAAUGAAAUAGAAAAUAUUAUCUAAGAAAUAAUUACCAAAAGAUUAUUCUUACCAAUAAUUUUAUGUUGAGUUCUUUGAAACCAGUUUUAAACUAUUUCUUAUUACAGUAGUUGUUGAAAAGCUUCCCAAUUUCAAUUAUAAACCAAGAAAAAUUCUCUAUCAAAACAUGAGAAAAAUAAGUCAAUUAAUAAAAAAGACUAAAGAUAUUUAGAACCAUCACUGCAAUAUAUUAGCAAAUCAAAUGUAGCUGGUUAUUAAAAGAUAACACACUGUGACCAAAUAGGUUUUUAUUCCAGGAAUGCACUAACAAUUCAAUAUUAGGAAGCCAAGUAAUAAUUCAUAACAAUAAUUGAUCAAUGGAGAAGAAAGAAAAAAAUUAUCUUGAUAGGUGUUGAAAAGGCAUUUAAAAAUAAUUCAACAUCAAUUAUUGAUCAACAAAUGUUAGUCAACUAGCAAUAGGAGAUAAGAAUAAAUCCCCAAGGUGAUGAAGGCUAUCUAUUUCAAACAACAUUAUAGCUAAUUGUAGCUAUAAUGUAACAUUAUAGCUAAUUGUAAAAAAAAUAGAAUCUUUCUAUUUUGUCUUGAAUAAGACAAAGAUCAUUAUUACAGUUUGUUUAAUUUUUAAAAAGUUGUUUAUUGAUGUAUAUUUUAUAAACAAUAAAAUUCACUCUUUUAAGUGUUUAGUUUGUUUAGUUACAUAAUCAUCAGAAUAGUAAAAAAAAAGGAGUAUUUUCUUCACUACAUAUGUUUUCUCUUGUCUGUUUCUCUCACUCUGCUCCCAGACCUGAUGACUACUCUUCUACUGUAUGUCCCUGUAUAUUUAUCAUUUCCAAAUUCCCUGUAAAUGGAAUCAUAUAGUAUAUAUCUUCUUUACAUAAUGCACAAUGCUUUUAAAAUUCAUCCAUGUUGUCCAUCCAUAUAUCACUAGUUCAUUUUUAUUGCUUAAUAGUAUUCUACUAUAUGUAUGUAUUACAAAUUAUUUGUUCAUAUGUAAAUGAUGCAUAUUUGGGUUAUUCUACUGUUUGGUUACUAUAAAUAAAACUGCUUUAGACAUUUGCAUACAUGUCCAUAAGUGAACAUAGGUUUUCAGUUCUCUCUGCUAAAUAUCCAUAAGUAGGAUUGCUGGAUUUUGUUUUAUUUUAUCUCUCUAUCUCUGUCUCUGUCUCUCUAUCUCUAUAUCUGUAUCUUUAUGAAAAAUUGCCAAACUAUUUUCUAGAGUGGUGUACUAUUUUACCUUUCACAAGCAAUAUAUGAGGAGUUCUAGUUUUCCACAUCAUCAUCAACACUUAGCAUUGUCAGUCAUUUUAGUUUUACUAUUUCAGUGGGAGGUAGUGAUAUCUCAUUGCAUUUUUAAUUUGCACUUCCACAGUGACUAAUGAUGAUGAGCUCUUUUCCUGUGCAUAUUUGCCCUCUGUGAUUUUCUGUUUUCACAAUUAUCCUAAUUGUGAAUAAAUAUAGUUAUUUUUUCCCUUACUGUAUCUUUAUCUUAAAAUCUUGACAUCAGGUAGUGAGAAUUAUCUUUUUCUUCUCAUUGAAUUUCUGCACAAAUUUUAGAAUCACCUCAAUUUCUAAAAACAAAACAAAACAAAAACAAACCUGAUGUAACUUGAAUUGAGAUUGCAUUGAAUCUAUUGAUCAAUUUGGCAAGAACUUACAUAUUAACAAUAUUUAGUCUUUGGACCAUGAACAGUGUAUUUUUUCAUUUAUUUAGGUCUUUAAUUUUUGUCAGUAAUGUUUUAUAGUUUGUAGUGUACAGGCUUUGCACAUAUUUUGUUAAAUUUAUCCCUAAGUAAAUAAUGUCUUAUGAUGCUACUAAAAAAUGUAUUCAAUUUUCUUUUUUGAUUUCCAAUUAUAGACUGUGAGUAUAAAAAAAUACAAUUGCCUUUGUUCCUAUUGACCGUGUACCAUGUGAUCUUGCUAAAGUCAGUCAUUUCUUUUUCUUUUUUUUUGUGAUAUCUUUAUUGGAGUAUAACUGCUUUACAAUGUUGUGUUAGUUUCUGUUGUACAAAAAGUGAAUCAGCAAUAAGUAUACAUAUAUCUCCAUACCCCCUCCCUCUUAAGCCUCCCUCCCAUCCUCCCUAUC